GUCCGGGCUCCGCAGGGGAUGAUGCCGGGUAACGCCCGGGCAUGUCGUCGGUUUUCCGGAGGCAUGACAGAAAGUGCCGCAGAAAAAAUACCGCCAUCGGUCUGAACCUCCGGGGAAAGGCAGAGGGUAAGGGUGAAAUGGCGAGGUAAGAGCUCACCGGCUUCGACGGCAACGUGGAGCGCAAGGUAAACCUCAUCAGGAGCAAGGUCAAACA
rnacentral:ribozyme from 1 species